GCCCAGUGAUGAGACCAAGGCGAAUACGAGCUAACUGAAUGAGAGUUGGGUUCUUCUUGCCUUGACUGGCAGGUAAUCUUGGCAGAGUAGAGGAGCAUUCCUGCUCUGCUGUAAGGGCCCGCCUACAGUGACAUGGCUCAACCCAAAUUAUUCCUUUAAAGUUACAGUGGAGUAAUCACAGGGAUGGAGUCGACAGUGUGUAUGUGAGUGUCUGUGUCUGUGUGUGUGAGUGUAUAUGUAAGAGGCAAGGAGUUCACCCAGCUCUUUUCAAUGUUCUGUCAGCUAUGAGUUGCUUCUUUGGUAAUCUGAGGGCA